rnacentral:lncRNA from 1 species
AAUGAAAUACUGGCUUCAGACGACUUCUGCUUCAGCACCUGCCACAAACUUCCGCAAAGGUAAAGAGAAGAGAAUCAAAUCGCAUUAUAUGCUGGAGAUGCAGGACAAGUAAACACAGCAAACAUGUUGAGCAGAUCAAGUCUCAUACAGGUGCAUACCCUUAUGUAUUUGCUAUUGAUAUGCUUCCUGCCAAUCAAGAUAUCAAAGCUUGAAACUUCUCCCCCUAGCUACAACACAGAAGCUGACGUCCUUGUCUGUGCCACUGAGCUAGGAGAUUAACUCCAACUUCUAAUACGGUGUAUCUGAAACUGGAUUCAGAUUUGAACACCUCUUCAAGAGGUAGUCACUGAUCCUUGAGGUGAGUGGGACCCUGAUC